GAUGAAGAACGUAGCGAAAUGCGAUACGUAAUGUGAAUUGCAGAAUUCAGUGAAUCAUCGAAUCUUUGAACGCACAUGGCGCCCGCUAGUAUUCUGGCGGGCAUGCCUGUCCGAGCGUCAUUUCAACCCAUCAAGCUUAGCGCUUGUGUUGGAGCCCUGCGGCCGCCGCAGCCUCCUAAAAUCAGUGGCGGGCUCGCUAUCACGCUGAGUGCAGUAGUAUUCUUCUCACUCCUGUGGUGUAGCGGGUAACCAGCCGUAAACCCCCCCAUCUAUAAAGGUUGACCUCGGAUCAGGUAGGAAUACCCGCUGAACUUAAGCAUAUCAAUAAGCGGAGGA
rnacentral:misc_RNA from 1 species